rnacentral:rRNA from 1 species
GAUGAACGCUGGCGGCGUGCUUAACACAUGCAAGUCGAACGAUUAAACUGGCUUCGGCCAGAUAUAGAGUGGCGAACGGGUGAGUAACACGUGACCAACCCGCCCCGCGCUCCGGGACAACCGCUGGAAACGGCGGCUAAUACCGGAUGCUCCGGGGAGGCCCCAUGGCCUCCCCGGGAAAGCCUUAACGGCGCGGGAUGGGGUCGCGGCCCAUUAGGUAGACGGCGGGGUAACGGCCCACCGUGCCCGCGAUGGGUAGCCGGACUGAGAGGUCGACCGGCCACAUUGGGACUGAGAUACGGCCCAGACUCCUACGGGAGGCAGCAGUGGGGAAUUUUGCGCAAUGGGGGCAACCCUGACGCAGCAACGCCGCGUGCGGGACGAAGGCCUUCGGGUUGUAAACCGCUUUCAGCAGGGAAGACUU